GUGAGGAAUCUUCCACAAUGGGCGAAAGCCUGAUGGAGCAACGCCGCGUGAAGGAUGAAGGUCUUCGGAUUGUAAACUUCUUUUAUGAGUGAAGAAUAUGACGGUAACUCAUGAAUAAGCACCGGCUAACUACGUGCCAGCAGCCGCGGUCAUACGUAGGGUGCAAGCAUUAUCCGGAGUGACUGGGCGUAAAGAGUUGCGUAGGCGGUUAUGUAAGCGAAUAGUGAAACCUGGUGGCUCAACCACACAGACUAUUAUUCGAACUGCAUAUCUCGAGAAUGGUAGAGGUAACUGGAAUUUCUUGUGUAGGAGUGAAAUCCGUAGAUAUAAGAAGGAACACCAAUGGCGUAGGCAGGUUACUGGGCCAUUUCUGACGCUAAGGCACGAAAGCGUGGGGAUCGAACAGGAUUAGAAACCCUAGUAGUCC
rnacentral:rRNA from 1 species